rnacentral:rRNA from 1 species
CGGCCGGGCAGGUCCGUCGGGAAAUCCAGCGGCUCAACCGCUGGGCGGCCGGCGGAACCCACCCGGCUUGGGACCGGAAGACCCGAGGGGUACGUCCGGGGUAGGAGUGAAAUCCCGUAAUCCUGGACGGACCGCCGAUGGCGAAAGCACCUCGGGAGGACGGAUCCGACGGUGAGGGACGAAAGCUCGGGUCUCGAACCGGAUUAGAUACCCGGGUAGUCCGAGCCGUAAACGAUGUUCGCUAGGUGUGGCACAGGCUACGUGCCUGUGCUGUGCCGUAGGGAAGCCGUGAAGCGAGCCGCCUGGGAA